UCUCAAACAAUCCAUGGCUAAUCAAAUGGAAACAAAAACAAAAAUUAAUUUCUUUCUUUCUUUCCUUUUAUUUGGAGGUGCUGGGGAUCAAAACCAGAGCCUUAUGCAUGCUAAGCAACUGUUCUAUCUCUGAGCUCCAUCUGGGGACCCUCUACAUGUUUUAUGAAAGGCUAGAGUUUCAUCCAUUUGUGUUGAAACAAAAAGGUGAAUAAUGAAUAGGUGUUCUCAAAUGUUGCUCAGUCUGAAAAACACAAUAUAAAACAAUGGAAUUGGAAUGUUGCAGAUACCGCUGGGCUUUCUUGAUAUAAGGGUCUUAUUAAAUUGCUCAGGCUGGCCUGGAACUCACCAUCUUCCUGCCUCUACCUCCGGAGUCACUGAGAUUACAGGCAUGUGCCACUGUUCCUGAUGGUUUGCUGGCUUUUUAUAAGGGCUAUUUCGAAGGACAUAAAUGAACAGUGAGAUGAAGGAUGGACGACAGGAGGAGGUAUGGGGGCCAUGGAGCGCCAGUGCUUCCCUACAAGGGUGCCAGCCCACCAGCAUCUGUGUGUCCAGCAGACCAGCUCUUCCAUGCUUAUGGUUCAAGGGUUUUCAGACCUUGAUCUCCAGCCGCCCCCACCCCCACUUCCUGGUAUUCAAGCCCUCUAAUCUGUAAUCACUGGGUCUCCCCAGUGACUAGUUCUAGGGGCCUCACUCUAAGAUAAGCUCAUUAGCAGAGAUCCAGUGUUAUCCAAGGGUCAUUGUGAAAAACACAAACAUUCCUACCACUCAGGAACUUCCAAGAGUUUCAGCUUUGUGAGAGAAACCUGGGAAGAUGACCAAACACUGCAUUUUUCCUAGUAGUUACAUUUUCUAAGGAGUCCACAUUUUCAGCUUUCCAUACUGCCAGUCAAGCCUCUCAUCAGACAGAAGCAAACUAAAAGUCUGAUUACUAAAAAUAAAAAUAUUUGCUUUUAGCUGAUAGCAGAGUAUAACAACAAUUAUGCCUUUUAUCAUCUUAUUAUUUAAAAUAGAGAAUUUAAUUUUGAAUAAAACAUCCAAAUAAAGCAGAGUUGCAGUCUGCUUAACUCAAGGCAAGUUGCUGGAGGAGGCCUGGGUUAGUAAUCCAGGCAAUUUAAAGA